AUGAACGCUAGCUACAGGCUUAACACAUGCAAGUCGAGGGGCAGCAUGGUCUUAGCUUGCUAAGGCCGAUGGCGACCGGCGCACGGGUGAGUAACACGUAUCCAACCUGCCGUCUACUCUUGGACAGCCUUCUGAAAGGAAGAUUAAUACAAGAUGGCAUCAUGAGUCCGCAUGUUCACAUGAUUAAAGGUAUUCCGGUAGACGAUGGGGAUGCGUUCCAUUAGAUAGUAGGCGGGGUAACGGCCCACCUAGUCUUCGAUGGAUAGGGGUUCUGAGAGGAAGGUCCCCCACAUUGGAACUGAGACACGGUCCAAACUCCUACGGGAGGCAGCAGUGAGGAAUAUUGGUCAAUGGGCGAGAGCCUGAACCAGCCAAGUAGCGUGAAGGAUGACUGCCCUAUGGGUUGUAAACUUCUUUUAUAAAGGAAUAAAGUCGGGUAUGGAUACCCGUUUGCAUGUACUUUAUGAAUAAGGAUCGGCUAACUCCGUGCCAGCAGCCGCGGUAAUACGGAGGAUCCGAGCGUUAUCCGGAUUUAUUGGGUUUAAAGGGAGCGUAGAUGGAUAUUUAAGUCAGUUGUGAAAGUUUGCGGCUCAACCGUAAAAUUGCAGUUGAUACUGGAUAUCUUGAGUGCAGUUGAGGCAGGCGGAAUUCGUGGUGUAGCGGUGAAAUGCUUAGAUAUCACGAAGAACUCCGAUUGCGAAGGCAGCCUGCUAAGCUGCAACUGACAUUGAGGCUCGAAAGUGUGGGUAUCAAACAGGAUUAGAUACCCUGGUAGUCCACACGGUAAACGAUGAAUACUCGCUGUUUGCGAUAUACUGCAAGCGGCCAAGCGAAAGCGUUAAGUAUUCCACCUGGGGAGUACGCCGGCAACGGUGAAACUCAAGGGAAUUGACGGGGGCCCGCACAAGCGGAGGAACAUGUGGUUUAAUUCGAUGAUACGCGAGGAACCUUACCCGGGCUUAAAUUGCAGAUGAAUUACGGUGAAAGCCGUAAGCCGCAAGGCAUCUGUGAAGGUGCUGCAUGGUUGUCGUCAGCUCGUGCCGUGAGGUGUCGGCUUAAGUGCCAUAACGAGCGCAACCCUUGUUGUCAGUUACUAACAGGUUCCGCUGAGGACUCUGACAAGACUGCCAUCGUAAGAUGUGAGGAAGGUGGGGAUGACGUCAAAUCAGCACGGCCCUUACGUCCGGGGCUACACACGUGUUACAAUGGGGGGUACAGAGGGCCGCUACCACGCGAGUGGAUGCCAAUCCCCAAAACCUCUCUCAGUUCGGACUGGAGUCUGCAACCCGACUCCACGAAGCUGGAUUCGCUAGUAAUCGCGCAUCAGCCACGGCGCGGUGAAUACGUUCCCGGGCCUUGUACACACCGCCCGUCAAGCCAUGGGAGCCGGGGGUACCUGAAGUGCGUAACCGCGAGGAGCGCCCUAGGGUAAAACUGGUGACUGGGGCU
rnacentral:rRNA from 1 species